UACGUAGGUGGCGAGCGUUGUCCGGAAUUACUGGGCGUAAAGGGUGCGUAGGCGAAUGUUUAAGUGAGAUGUGAAAUACCCGGGCUUAACCUGGGAGCUGCAUUUCAAACUGGAUAUCUGGAGUGCAGGAGAGGAGAACGGAAUUCCUAGUGUAGCGGUGAAAUGCGUAGAGAUUAGGAAGAACACCAGUGGCGAAGGCGGUUCUCUGGACUGUAACUGACGCUGAGGCACGAAAGCGUGGGUAGCAAACAGG
rnacentral:rRNA from 1 species